UGGUGGGGUAAGGGCCCACCAAGGCUACGAUCCAUAGCUGAUUUGAGAGGAUGAUCAGCCACAUUGGGACUGAGACACGGCCCAAACUCCUACGGGAGGCAGCAGUGGGGAAUAUUGGACAAUGGGGGCAACCCUGAUCCAGCAAUGCCAUGUGUGUGAAGAAGGCCCUAGGGUUGUAAAGCACUUUAGUUGGGGAGGAAAGCCUCAAGGUUAAUAGCCUUGGGGGAGGACGUUACCCAAAGAAUAAGCACCGGCUAACUCCGUGCCAGCAGCCGCGGUAAUACGGGGGGUGCAAGCGUUAAUCGGAAUUACUGGGCGUAAAGGGUCUGUAGGUGGUUUGUUAAGUCAGAUGUGAAAGCCCAGGGCUCAACCUUGGAACUGCAUUUGAUACUGGCAAACUAGAGUACGGUAGAGGAAUGGGGAAUUUCUGGUGUAGCGGUGAAAUGCGUAGAGAUCAGAAGGAACACCAAUGGCGAAGGCAACAUUCUGGACCGAUACUGACACUGAGGGACGAAAGCGUGGGGAUCAAACAGGAUUAGAUACCCUGGUAGUCCACGCUGUAAACGAUGAGUACUAGCUGUUGGAGUCGGUGUAAAGGCUCUAGUGGCGCAGCUAACGCGAUAAGUACUCCGCCUGGGGACUACGGCCGCAAGGCUAAAACUCAAAGGAAUUGACGGGGACCCGCACAAGCGGUGGAGCAUGUGGUUUAAUUCGAUGCAACGC
rnacentral:rRNA from 1 species